GGGCUGUCAGCAAAUGGAUUCGUGCUUGGCUUGGGGCAGGCAUGAGAUUCCACACUGCAUCCCUCCCCUCCUGCCCUUCUCCUCCCAACAGAAGGACACAGACAGUGGCCAUAAAGGACAUAUGAAGAAAUAGCAACAUCAAUUUAGGACAUUAGGACCUAAAAUAUGCCACCUGUGGAACUUCCUAGCAGCCAGGGCAAAAGAGAAAGCCCAGUUAUACAGUUCUCAUGAUGACAGAAGGAAGUACAGGAGAGCAGUUUCUCCGAGGAAACUAAACUUCCUAGCCCUGGAUCCUAGGAGGAUUUCUCACUUUGUAGAAGAAACAAGUCUACCUAUGUAGGGGGGCUUAGAACGCUGCCCUGGGACCCCUGGGAUGCUCAACAUAUCUGCGUGAGUCUCAUUUCCUCCCAAUCCCAGGCUCCAGCCACUGACCCCGGGCGCAGAGCCCUGCCCCACUCCUCCCGAGACCCUGACUGUGAGUGAGGGCUUGACAUCAUCCACCUGUCCUGCGUGUUCCCUGCCUGGCCAGCAAAGCCACAGGCCAAAGCUCGAGAUCGACUUUUGUUCUCAACGAUGCAUUACUGCAGCAUGACCUGUCACAGUCUGCUUUACCAGAAACUUCCUUCUUUGAGAUAAACAAAGCCAUAAUGAGGCCCUCCCUAAGUGGAAGGUCCUUGCAGGAGGUGGUGGCAUAUACCUGGUGAGACCCAGGGAGGGCAGGAUCAGCACCAUGAAGAUCAAGAAUAUGUAGACUUUGGUCAUCACGAUCUGGUUUUCCCCUGACCUGCAGGAAGUCAAAGCACAGCAAAGAAAGCAAUUUCACAUACAAGUAAACGCCACUUAUCUGACUAAACAGAUUAAAUAACCUUCUCUGCUCCCUAUACAAAACAAAUGACUGAUGCCAUGGGAAGACUGAACACUGAAGGCCUGGAGUCCUGACUGGGGGCAUGGGGCGGGCAGGGGAUGCCCUGCCUGCUCAGCUCCCACUGGUCCAGCUGCAGCAUAUCAGGACUCUACUGUGUGUGUCCACAAUCCUGCUGUUUGUUACUGUGAUUACAUGAGCGGAUUGACUUAUUACUGUCACUUAUUAGAUGAACAUAAAAACAGAGAGAAAUUUUCUUUGAAAACUAAGUUGGAUACUUUGGAAAGACUUGAUAAAAGUCAAUUUCUAAAAAAAAAAAACGCUGUUAAUUAGAUGAGAGUAAAUUAACGAUAAAAGAUCAAGGGAUAUGCGAUCUAGGAAGUUUCUAUAUUCAGAAUGGCUCUGCAAAUAUCUAAAUUCUUCAUUUAUUUUAAAGAAGGCAACACUGGAAUCACAAAACAAUGAAAUAAGGAGUGGUUGAUGUAAAAUAGACAAAGGGGAGCUCUUAACAGCAGAUCCAUCCUCAAAAGAAUAGGCCUGUCCCUCUAUUAAAAGAUUGGCAAAGGAAUGCAUGUUUAUAAUACCUGCUUGAAAUCUUAAACAAAACUGCUGAAUUUAUACUUAGGUAGUUUUAAACUAUUUAUGGAGUCAGAUAAGAGCUUCAACCACACAUCAGCUCAUUGAUUAUCAUGACAACAGCCUCGCGUCCUGUAUAAUAGGGCAGGUGUUUUAACUCCAGUCCUUGGAUGAAAAACUGAGGUUCAGAAUUCAUCAGAUGGGGAGAAUGGCAAAGUGAGGACAAGGAGGCCCUCCUGCCCAGUAUGCUUUCCCAGAGAAUAAGUAACCAAAUGCAAAGUGAAAUUUAAAAAGAAAAAAAAUUUAGGGAGAUGGCUUGGCAAAGUUAAUCAUAAGAAACCAAUAGCUUUUUGAGUAAAUGCCAGUUGAGUGUUUGGCUGUUAUCCCAUUGACUCAUGUAAGAUUUUUGAAAAUCACUCAUUACCUAUACAGAAUAAAUAGUUUUUGUUGUUUUUU